UGAGAGGAUGAUCAGUCACACUGGAACUGAGACACGGUCCAGACUCUACGGGAGGCAGCAGUGGGGAAUAUUGGACAAUGGGSGAWAGCCUGAUCCAKCCAUGCCGCGUGUGGAAGAAGGUCUUCGGAUUGUAAAGCACUUUAAGUUGGGAGGAAGGGCAGUAAGUUAAUACCUUGCUGUUUUGACGUUACCAACAGAAUAAGCACCGGCUAACUUCGUGCCAGCAGCCGCGGUAAUACGAAGGGUGCAAGCGUUAAUCGGAAUUACUGGGCGUAAAGCGCGCGUAGGUGGUUCAGCAAGUUGGAUGUGAAAUCCCCGGGCUCAACCUGGGAACGGCAUCCAAAUCUUCUGAGCUAGAGUACUGUAGAGGGUGGUGGAAUUUCGUGUGUAGCGGUGAAAUGCGUAGAUAUAGGAAGGAACACCAGUGGCGAAGGCGACCACCUGGAGUGGAUACUGACACUUAGGUGCGAAAGCGUGGGGAGCAAACGAGGAUUAGAUACCUCUG
rnacentral:rRNA from 1 species